rnacentral:rRNA from 1 species
UACGUAGGGAGCAAGCGUUGUCCGGAAUCAUUGGGCGUAAAGCGCGCGUAGGUGGCCCCGUAAGUCCGCUGUGAAAGUCAAAGGCUCAACCUUUGAAAGCCGGUGGAUACUGUGGGGCUAGAGUACGGAAGAGGCGAGUGGAAUUCCUGGUGUAGCGGUGGAAUGCGCAGAUAUCAGGAGGAACACCAAUAGCGAAGGCAGCUCGCUGGGACGUUACUGACGCUGAGGCGCGAAAGCGUGGGGAGCGAACAGG